CACGUAGGGCGCAAGCGUUGUCCGGAAUUAUUGGGCGUAAAGAGCUUGUAGGCGGUUUGUCGCGUCUGCUGUGAAAAUCCGAGGCUCAACCUCGGACUUGCAGUGGGUACGGGCAGACUAGAGUGUGGUAGGGGAGACUGGAAUUCCUGGUGUAGCGGUGGAAUGCGCAGAUAUCAGGAGGAACACCGAUGGCGAAGGCAGGUCUCUGGGCCACUACUGACGCUGAGAAGCGAAAGCAUGGGGAGCGAACAGG
rnacentral:rRNA from 1 species